rnacentral:pre_miRNA from 1 species
GCAUGCUCGGGUUAGGUCAGGGGGAUUGUUGUCUGGCUCGGGGUCUCCGGUCGAGAUCGAUUCAUAACAUAUACGUACGUGCUUCUAGCCUUGCCGGCGGAGCUAGUCGUUGUCGUCGACCGGAGAUUUCGGACCAGGCUUCAAUCCCUUUGACCAUGCGGCAUUAGG